GGUGCAUACAGCAGAUACGUGCACCGGGUCCAUCGGGCGUUUUCGCAACAUAAAUGAUAAUCUCCAUUUACAUUCUAUAAUAUAUCAAUUGUUUAUGGCCCUACCGCAAUUCGCCCGAGUCACUUUUUGUCGGUAAAUAUACCAGAAACAUUCUCGCAGAGUACCGAAAUCGAACUUUUGCGUAAUUUUCACUUUAGUUUGAAACCGAAACUUUAACGGCCUCGUUGUCGACAAGUGGAGCAGACUGAGCGCCAUCUGCAUCAGUACGUGUUUUGAAAUGUCGCGAGCGGUAGGUGGGUGGUAGCAGUUCCCGUCUUUCAACUCUUCAAGACGGGCAAAAAACGUGAAUGUCUUUGAAUCUCUACAGUCAAGUGCUGCAUUUUGCAUAGUUUCUUUGUCUCUACAAAUUCUGCACCACCUAAAUCACGAAAAACUACGAGCGACGCAUGUGACUGCAAUUACGAUGCUGGCAGUUCGUCAUAAAAAUGGACGACGCUUGCAAGAUACUAUGAAUCGUGCGGAAUAAAGGCCAGCGCGACUGAAGUGAGAAACGCUGCAAAUACAUGAAUACUGGGGGCCUGGCAAAAAUCAGCAAAGCUGCUACACAGUUCCCACAGAAUUCCCAGUUCACUCACAAUUGGCUUUGGGAUGGACAGGAUUGCUGACAGUUGGUGAGUCUAAGUCAUCUUCAGGUGAAGUAGCAUUGAUGUCUAUUAGUACCAAUUCGUGACAUGUAUUUUUUUGAGAUGCCAAAAAAUCUGUUCAGGGCAGUCUACAGAAUGCAAAAAAGAACGCCGCCGAAGCCCAUGGGGCACCAAGAACUGAUGUGGGAAGAAAAAGACACCACGACAGCGAAGACUUCUCCGAGUCAGACGUUUCGGACUCUGAAUGUAUUGUGUCAGCUGCUGAAGUAAAGAAGGCUAAUGAACAGGCCACAUACUGGCAGCAGCAUUGUGGAAAGAAAGAGGAGGAAAUAUCACAUCUUCCUUCCUGGCUUCUGUACAUAUUCCAGGCUAGCAGCACAGGCUGGCUCUCCUGCAGAGCCGCAACAGCAGUUCAGAAUAGAAACCGAUGCUGAAACCUGGCUCGGCUUCAAUAAACUACUUGCAAGUGGGUUCCGAAGGAACCUCGGAAUCGAUUCCUGGUUCCAUAACCGCCUUGCAAGUGGAUCCAUUUGAAAAUGGAAACGUGUUUCCAGCUGGAAAGCAAUUCCUAGCUGGAAUUCAUUCCUAGCUGGAAAUACAUUCCAAGCUAGCAAUCAAUUCCUGGUUCCAUAACCGACUUGCAAGCGGAUCCACUUAGGGAAUUUUUUCACCUGGGAGGUGGGCCGGGAUAUUUUCGCAAUUAAGACAACAAAACUCAGUUAUGCGAACUUCGAGCAGCAGCUGCUCCUUAAG